GCAUAAUGGAUAGCGCGGACGCCUCCUAAGCGUCAGGCCGAGGGUUCAAAUCCCUC
rnacentral:tRNA from 1 species